rnacentral:sRNA from 1 species
GACUACCGGCGGCGACGACCACGGGAGCAUGGCGGACACCGACCUGUUCAUGGAAUGUGAGGAGGAGGAGUUGGAGCCAUGGCAGAAAAUCAGUGAUGUCAUUGAGGACUCUGUAGUUGAAGAUUAUAAUUCAGUGGAUAAAACUACCACAGCUGGCAAUCCUUUGGUCCAGCAAGGUGGACAGCCACUCAUCCUGACCCAGAAUCCAGCCCCAGGUCUGGGCACAAUGGUUACUCAACCAGUAUUGAGGCCUGUUCAGGUCAUGCAGAAUGCCAAUCAUGUGACUAGUUCCCCUGUGGCCUCACAACCAAUAUUUAUCACUACGCAGGGAUUUCCUGUAAGGAAUGUCCGGCCUGUACAAAAUGCAAUGAAUCAGGUUGGGAUUGUGCUGAACGUACAGCAAGGCCAAACGGUUAGACCAAUUACACUAGUUCCAGCCCCAGGUACCCAGUUUGUUAAGCCGACAGUUGGAGUUCCACAAGUGUUCUCCCAGAUGACCCCUGUGAGGCCAGGCUCCACAAUGCCUGUGAGGCCCACCACCAACACCUUCACCACCGUCAUCCCGGCCACUCUUACCAUUCGAAGCACCGUCCCACAGUCCCAGUCCCAGCAGACCAAGUCCACUCCCAGCACUUCCACCACUCCCACUGCCACACAGCCAACCUCACUGGGGCAACUAGCUGUUCAGUCUCCAGGCCAGUCAAACCAGACCACGAAUCCCAAGCUAGCUCCCUCCUUCCCCUCUCCACCUGCAGUGAGCAUUGCCAGCUUUGUCACUGUGAAGCGACCUGGUGUUACAGGCGAAAAUAGCAAUGAAGUGGCCAAAUUGGUGAAUACCCUUAACACCAUCCCUUCCCUGGGCCAGAGUCCUGGGCCAGUGGUGGUGUCCAACAACAGCUCUGCUCAUGGCUCUCAAAGAACCAGCGGACCUGAGUCUUCAAUGAAAGUGACCUCUUCCAUCCCAGUAUUUGACCUCCAGGAUGGUGGACGGAAAAUAUGUCCACGAUGUAAUGCUCAAUUUCGUGUUACUGAAGCUUUGAGAGGUCACAUGUGUUACUGUUGCCCAGAAAUGGUUGAAUACCAGAAGAAAGGAAAGUCCCUGGAUUCAGAACCCAGUGUCCCAUCAGCAGCAAAGCCCCCGUCCCCUGAGAAAACAGCUCCUGUUGCUUCCACACCCUCUUCUACACCUAUUCCUGCUCUGUCACCGCCUACCAAAGUACCAGAACCAAAUGAGAACGUGGGCGAUGCCGUCCAGACCAAACUCAUUAUGCUUGUAGAUGACUUCUACUAUGGACGGGAUGGUGGCAAAGUAGCCCAGCUCACAAAUUUCCCUAAGGUCGCCACAUCUUUCCGAUGCCCACAUUGUACCAAAAGGCUAAAAAACAAUAUUCGAUUCAUGAACCAUAUGAAACACCACGUAGAACUCGAUCAGCAGAACGGUGAGGUAGAUGGUCACACUAUCUGCCAGCACUGUUACCGCCAGUUUUCCACUCCCUUCCAGCUUCAGUGCCACUUGGAAAAUGUUCAUAGUCCCUAUGAAUCUACUACCAAGUGCAAGAUCUGUGAAUGGGCGUUUGAAAGUGAGCCACUAUUUCUCCAGCAUAUGAAGGAUACUCAUAAGCCUGGAGAGAUGCCUUAUGUUUGCCAGGUGUGUCAAUAUCGCUCCUCACUCUACUCUGAGGUAGAUGUCCAUUUUCGGAUGAUCCAUGAGGAUACCCGGCAUCUGCUCUGCCCUUAUUGCCUGAAGGUCUUCAAAAAUGGCAAUGCAUUCCAACAGCAUUACAUGAGGCACCAGAAGAGAAAUGUUUAUCACUGCAACAAAUGCCGGCUGCAGUUUCUCUUUGCCAAGGACAAAAUUGAACACAAGCUUCAACACCAUAAAACCUUCCGUAAACCCAAGCAGCUGGAGGGCUUGAAACCAGGCACCAAGGUGACAAUCCGGGCUUCCCGAGGGCAGCCACGAACUGUUCCUGUAUCCUCUAAUGAUACACCUCCCAGCGCCUUGCAGGAGGCAGCACCGCUGACCUCCUCAAUGGACCCUCUGCCUGUCUUCCUUUAUCCCCCUGUCCAGCGCAGCAUCCAGAAGAGAGCUGUUAGGAAAAUGAGUGUCAUGGGCCGGCAGACAUGCCUGGAGUGCAGCUUCGAGAUCCCAGACUUCCCUAAUCAUUUCCCUACUUACGUACACUGCUCUCUGUGUCGCUAUAGCACCUGCUGUUCUCGAGCUUAUGCCAACCACAUGAUCAACAAUCAUGUUCCACGGAAGAGCCCCAAGUAUUUGGCUUUGUUUAAAAAUUCUGUGAGUGGAAUCAAGCUGGCCUGCACUUCAUGUACCUUUGUUACCUCUGUGGGCGAUGCUAUGGCCAAGCAUUUGGUAUUCAACCCCUCUCACAGAUCCAGCAGCAUCCUGCCACGGGGUAAGUAGGAGAGAAGGGGAUUAGUUGAGCAAGGGGAGGAAAAAAGAUACAGGUUCGUACUGUAUGCAUCAGGAGCAUACCUACCUGGCCUCACUCAUUCACUGUUGAGAUGUGCUGGACCUAAUUAGAAACCUUUCGACCUGAAGUUUAUAUAAAACUGGGAAAGCUGGUCACUGCGAACAGCGUAUUUGUAUGUAGUAAGUUGAAUCCCAGGGCACUGUCUUUGGAGGGCUUAUUUUUUCACUGAGCUAACUAUUUUUGUUGUUUCAUUUUCCAUAGGACUCACUUGGAUAGCUCACUCAAGGCAUGGCCAGACUCGUGACCGAGUGCAUGACCGGAACGUGAAGAAUAUGUACCCUCCUCCUUCCUUCCCCACUAACAAAGCUGCCACUGUGAAAUCUGCGGGGGCCACCCCAGCUGAGCCUGAAGAGCUACUAACUCCCUUAGCCCCAGCACUCCCAUCACCAGCCUCAACUGCAACCCCACCACCAACCCCCACUCACCCGCAGGCUUUAGCCCUUCCACCGCUGGCUACAGAGGGAGCCGAAUGUCUGAAUGUUGAUGAUCAGGAUGAAGGGAGCCCAGUCACCCAAGAACCUGAGCUAGCAUCAGGUGGUGGUGGUAGUGGUGGGGUUGGCAAAAAGGAGCAGCUGUCUGUGAAGAAGCUUCGAGUAGUACUGUUUGCUCUAUGCUGCAAUACAGAACAGGCAGCUGAACACUUCCGAAAUCCCCAGCGACGUAUUCGCCGUUGGCUUCGACGUUUCCAGGCCUCCCAGGGGGAGAAUCUAGAGGGCAAAUAUCUGAGCUUUGAGGCAGAAGAGAAACUGGCUGAGUGGGUGCUAACCCAGCGCGAACAACAGCUACCUGUAAAUGAGGAGACCUUGUUCCAGAAGGCCACCAAAAUAGGACGUUCUUUGGAAGGGGGGUUUAAGAUCUCCUAUGAGUGGGCUGUGCGUUUCAUGCUGCGGCACCACCUGACUCCCCAUGCCCGGCGAGCUGUGGCCCACACCCUACCUAAGGAUGUAGCAGAGAAUGCAGGACUCUUCAUUGAUUUUGUACAACGGCAGAUUCACAACCAGGACUUACCCUUGUCUAUGAUUGUGGCUAUUGAUGAGAUCUCUUUGUUCCUGGAUACAGAGGUGCUGAGCAGUGAUGAUCGAAAGGAGAAUGCCCUGCAGACAGUGGGCACAGGGGAACCUUGGUGUGAUGUAGUCCUAGCCAUUCUGGCAGAUGGCACUGUCCUUCCCACCCUGGUUUUCUACAGAGGGCAGAUGGAUCAGCCUGCUAACAUGCCAGACUCCAUAUUGCUAGAGGCAAAGGAGAGUGGCUACAGUGAUGACGAGAUCAUGGAGCUGUGGUCAACUCGAGUGUGGCAGAAGCACACAGCUUGCCAGCGCAGCAAAGGCAUGCUUGUGAUGGACUGUCAUCGCACUCACUUGUCAGAAGAGGUACUGGCUAUGCUUAGUGCCUCUAGCACUUUGCCUGCAGUGGUCCCAGCAGGCUGUAGCUCCAAAAUUCAGCCAUUAGAUGUAUGCAUCAAAAGAACUGUCAAGAACUUCCUGCAUAAAAAAUGGAAGGAACAGGCUCGGGAAAUGGCAGAUACUGCAUGUGAUUCUGAUGUCCUGCUUCAGCUGGUGCUUGUCUGGCUGGGUGAAGUGCUAGGUGUCAUUGGGGACUGUCCAGAGCUAGUUCAGCGCUCCUUCCUGGUGGCUAGUGUUCUGCCUGGCCCCGAUGGCAACAUUAACUCACCUACAAGAAAUGCUGACAUGCAGGAGGAGCUAAUUGCCUCCCUAGAGGAGCAACUGAAGCUGAGUGGGGAACAUUCUGAGUCUUCCACUCCACGACCCAGAUCAUCUCCUGAAGAGACAAUUGAGCCUGAAAGUCUUCACCAGCUCUUUGAGGGUGAAAGUGAGACCGAGUCUUUCUAUGGCUUUGAAGAAGCUGACCUAGAUCUGAUGGAGAUUUGAGUGUUGGGGUCAUGAGGGGGUGUGGAGUGGGGGUGGGAACAUGUGAGGGAGGGUAAAGGGGCUUAGGGAAAAGGGGGCAUACCAGGUGGGGUAUUUGGUUUCUAUUUUUUAAUUUUAUACCACCACUCCCCCCUGAAGUUGACUUACACUUCCCUGUGGAUUUGUGGAUUAAUUAGGAAAACCAAUAGUAAUCACGUCUGAGCCAAGGAGCUGGCCCAUUGGUCAUUCACUUCUGCUAAAAACAGGUUUUUGUGACUUUUUUUUUUUAAAAUUUAAAUCACUGUGUUUGGUAUUUUUCUGACAAAAUUAAGAAAAAGAAAAAAAUUAUUUGUGGGCGAAUGUUAAAUUUUUUUGUUUCCCCUUUUACCUCAAUUGUAUCAUAGUACUGGGUUUUUUUGUUUGUUUUAUUGUGUGGCCAAUGUCUUUGGGCAUGAUGCUAUCUAAUCAUUGUUAAUGUGAGAACAUUUCUGAAGAUGGGAAAGACAAAUUAUGUAGCUCACAAACUGGUUUAUUAUAUAUAUGGAUAAAAAACUUUUUUCAUUGUGGUCUUAACACUUUUAUAUAAAAAUGAAAAUGGAAAAAAAGUCCCACUGAACUCUCUCUUCUCCUUUUCUUUCCUUCCCUCUCCAGAGAUGUUGGUUUCUACAGCAACCCUAGAUAUAAAAUUGUGGCUUUAAAAAUGCAUGAAACCACCUUUAAUUAUCCAGAAUGAAUAGAUUUGUCUUUUCCUCACCACCUUCCCUCCAAAACAUGACAUAAACAAUAUUUUUUGCACUUGUGAUCCUUGGCCCCUUUCCCCAUUCUCAACACCAUCCAUCCCUCUGGACAAAGGAUCAUACAGGUGUUAUUAGCAAGCAAGAGAUACUGAAGCGAUCAAACAGUUUUAGGGUGGAAGCCAUUCCCAGUUUGAGUCUUCAUCCUGUAAGCCCCCAGGGGCAGUCCCUGCUUUACUGAACUUCAUCCUGUUAGAUGGAGAGCAUGCCUGUUUAAGGGAUUACUGGUCCUACAGCCAGGAGCUAAUUGUUCAAGAAGUGUUGAACUUUAAAAAGACAAGACCACUUGUUGAAAUCCAGCGUGCUCUGUGGCUUUCCCCUAUUUCUCUUAAUACUUAGGGAAGAAUCUGACAGGAAGAAGCGCACAGGGGUGUGCACAAAGAAAAUGACAUGAAUCUUUAUUUUUCACUGCCAGCUUCAAGGAAAGAAAAUUUUUUCUACAAUUUGCAUGAGGGAUUUUUUUAAUUGUAUGUACUCAUGGUUGUAAACCAAAACGUACUGUACCGUACAGAGAAAAGGAGCAAAAAACCAAGUCUUCUGUUUAUCCUGAGGCUUUCCACAAUGUUCCCCUCCUGUGAGCCAAGGAGGCAACCUGCACAAGCUUGUAAAUGGUUCGUCUUUAAAAUGUACAUAAGUGGAACAUUUAAUAAAAUGAGGGGAAAUGGAUUUAUAAACUUGUUUUUUUUCUAGGUGACCCUGUUUAAUAGGCUUUCACAGACUGGGGAAUGCUCAAGAUGUGAUGGGCCUGGUGGUACAGGUGUGACAUUUGUUACCACCCAUUUCUCCCACCCCACCCUGCUUUUUUGUUUGUUUGUUUUUUCAUCCCCCAGCACACUAUAAUAUAGUGAACUGGAAAAGUCCCUUCCAGAAACAGCUUGGCCAGCUUUGUGAACCUUUGACAUCUGAAAACAACCAAGGAUCCAUCUGGGCUUCUCUUCCCCAGCUUUUUGCCUGAUGCCAUUUUAUUGACAGACAAUGGACUUUGAAGUCAGCCUUUGCCUUUGAGAAAGUUCAAGAACUAUGGUUGGUCACGUCUAUCUACAACAACCUAAUCCUACUCUUUGGUAGUCUCUGCAGCAGCCACAGCCUUAGCAGAGCUGGGGUUCCUGUCUUCGGCACACGAUUGACUUUCUUGAUGGGUAAUUUUUUUUAAGAUCAUACCAACAGUGGAUCAGCUGGGUUUUGGCCAGGAAGUUGUCUUUGUGGACUCUGCCUGCAUGGCUUAGUAGUAGAAGGAAAUUUUUUUUUGUUUUGUUUUUUAUAAUUCAGUUUAAUCAAUAAACAUGUAUUUAUUGACUGUU